CAACAGGUGACACAGGAGCAAGUCACUCGCAUGAUUUGGCAAGUGGCUCUCAGCUUGGAUUUCCUUAUGAUGUUCUUCCGGACUUCGCUACACAGUCAAAUACCAAAUUAGAAACAAAACAAGGCAAUGUGUUGACACCUCUGUGUGAAUUAACAAAUAGGAUGUUACAGCGAUGGAGUGCUUCCUGUGGACACACAAAGACAAUGUCAGCAUGAUUAGCCAUUAACCGCUAAGUGACAUUCAUGUAAAGGACAGUAGCUCCACUUCCACAACAUGUUUAUCCAACAUCGCUUACAGGAUGGAUUUUACUGCGAGCAUUCUGCACACCCUCCCCUCUUUAAUUUUUGUCACUGCAGUGGGGUUAUUGAGGUUGAGAGCUUUAUUCUUUCAUUUUCUUGUGGCUAAUCAUUCUCAGGGUUGCGUGUGAGUUGGAGCCUUUCCCAGCAGAUUUUGUGUAAGAGGCAAGGUACACUCUGUACUCGUCACCAGUCAAUCACUGUGCAAAUAGAUAAACAACUAUUCAAUCACAUUUACACCUAUGAGCAAUCCUGUACAGAAGGGGUGUCAAACUCAUUUUUGUCACUGGCCACUUUGUAGUUAUGUUUUCCUCCAGAUGGCCGUUAUGACUGUGGAACCAUACAAAUGCAUAAUCGCUGCAUCAAUAUCAUUACAUAUACAGUGGAACCUUGCUUUUCGUAAGCCUUAGUUUUCAUAGGAACUGGGUUUUUUUUUCGAAGAGUUUGUCCCAGUUUAUGUACUUUCGCUUGGUUUACAUACAGUUGAAAAUUGUCCAAACUCCUUUCUUAUUUGAAAAUACUUGCAAUUUCUCAACAUUAUUAAAAGUUAAGACAAUUUGAAAUGUUGUUCCAGAAGAACAUGAUUUCCUUACAUGGGCCACAUGAAAUAAUGCUUGGAUCUGGCCCCCAAGGCUUGACUUUGACACCGGUGCUGUACAGUAUCAUUCAUGCAUGUUAGCAGACCGGACGCUCCACAUGCUUCCCUCUUUCAAUCUGUAAUGGAAAUACAAAUAAUCCCUUUUGGAGUGUUUCCUUAUAAAACCUUGAUUAAUGGCAAAAUUGAAAGUAAUAUUUUAACAUUUUUAACCGUCAUCCAUGUAUGAAAAUAAGUUAACCACAUUUGUGUUGCAAAUGUGCCUCAUCCAUGUCCUUUUGCAACAUUUGUAACUGUCACACAAGGAUAACCAUUAUGUAUGUAAAUGUGAAUGCAUGCUUUGAAUGUGAGUGCUUAAUUAAUGUAAAUUUCAGAUUAUAUUCAUUUUGUUGAGGCAUGUCCUUCUUUUGAAAUAAGGAUUGGCCAAAGACCAAAGAAAGAGACGGAUUCAAUCCUCAGAUGCUCGCUGAACUGAGGUCCAUUGAGUUAUACUGACUUUAAUUGCCGUUAAGUUAUCAGAUAAAUAUUGAUUCUGAACUGCUCCAGAUGAUGUACAUCAGACAUUUAUUAUGUUUUUUAUAGUAUUGCUGGUUUUUGUAAUUACAACCAGAUAAGGGUGGCAUUAAGAGGUGGACUGAGUUGGAUAAGUCUCCUGUGUAGGCCUAGGUACCAAAUGCCUCUCAAUGACAUCA